rnacentral:lncRNA from 1 species
AGGCUGUGUAGUUUACGCGGCCAAGGCCAUUUUUGGGCUUAGUGGGCCACAUAGGCAUGUGGGCCCACGCAGGCUGCAUUAUGGGCCUUGGGCCCAUUUUCAUUAUUUGACUGUUAAGAUUGCACAGGUCGCCCGAAACAACUGUGGACCUACUGUUGGGUCGGUAAGCAUACCUAGACCCCAAGUUUGAUAAAUGACUGUUAUGCCCCUAUGAGGUAAAAAGACUAUUGUGCCCUUAUGAGAUGUAUGACUGUAUUGAGCAUGC